GACGUAGGGCGCGAGCGUUGUCCGGAAUUAUUGGGCGUAAAGAGCUCGUAGGCGGUCUGUUACGUCUGCUGUGAAAACCCGGGGCUUAACCCUGGGCUUGCAGUGGAUACGGGCAGACUAGAGGCAGGUAGGGGAGAAUGGAAUUCCCGGUGUAGCGGUGAAAUGCGCAGAUAUCGGGAGGAACACCGGUGGCGAAGGCGGUUCUCUGGGCCUGACCUGACGCUGAGGAGCGAAAGCGUGGGGAGCGAACAGG
rnacentral:rRNA from 1 species